GUGGACGUAGCUCAAUGGCGGAGCGCUCGGUUGUGGUCCGAGUGGUUAUGGGUUCGAGUCCCAUCGUCCACC
rnacentral:tRNA from 1 species